GUGAGAGAUGGGACGGGCAACAACAAUGAUGACAGCUAUGUCCUGACCAGGGUUACACUUGGGGUGGGCGCUCAGAAGUCGGUUAGAUUGGAGGUGAAGCUAGAAGAUGCCCUGGCCGCCAGGGAGAACCCAAUGAUCAAUGACAUCAGAAAAGAUGAGAAUUUCAGUCCCAGACCUGAGGACAGUGUCAUUGGUGUACCGGAUCAGCCUCCUGCUGAGCAGGAUGUCACCUGGUUGAAACCCUGGAGGAGCCACAGGGAGGCACCUGAUCAAGGUGAUUCUCCAAGUGCCUUGCAGAUUGCCAACAGAACCCCCAUGGUCAUGACGAUUAUAUCUCCUUCGCCUCCAGCAACCGUCGACAUUGGUGACCUGAGUGAUGUCCUGAACUUCACACCUGAGCUCCACUUUAUCCCAGCCCCCAUUGUCAUGGUGGAAGUCGACACCCCCCUUGAAUCUUUAUCCCCACCUGUCUAUUCAGAGGACACCCUAGAUGCCACAAUCGUGAGCAGUUUUGAACCUGUUGAUGUCCCCAUUGUGGAGGUCCCCAUCAUGAGCAGCCUUAAACCUGUUGCUGUCCCCAUCCUUGAACCUCUGGUUGUCCCCAUCGUGAGCAUUCUUGAACCUGUGGAAGUCCCCAAUGUGAAUGUCCACAUCGUGAGUAGUUUUGAAUCUGUGGAAGCCCCCAUCGUGGAUCUCCCCAUCAUGGAUGUCACCAUUGUGAACAGCCUUGAACCUCUGCAAGCCCCAAUUGUGGAUGCACCCAUCGUGAGCAGCCUUGAACCUGUUGAACAUGCAGAUGCCACUGUCAUGAAUGACCUUGAUAUCCUGAAUGCUCCAGUUGGCUUAGAGAACCUGGAUGCCCCAGUCAUCAACAGUCUUGACACACUGGUGCUGGACGCUCUUAUUGUAAACAGCCUUGAACCUGUGGACAUCCCUGUCAUCAAUGACCUUGACACUCCAGAUACCCCCAUCAUAAAUAUUCUUGACACCCUGGAGCUGGAUGCUCCCAUCAUAGAUGUCCCCAUUGUGGACAGCCUUGCACCUGUGGAAUUCCCCAUCAUGAAUGACAUUGACCUCCUGGAGAACCCUGCGGAGUUCAGCUCCAGCUUUAACCCUCAGCUUGAAGUAGAGGUUCAUGUGGAGGGUGAGGACCAGAACCAGGGGCUUUGUCUGUGUGUCCAACCUCAGCGUACCUAUGAGAUCAUUGGGGAGCCCAAUCCUGAUGAACCCUCUGGAAGUGGACCUGGCAACCCCAGGCUCUCAAACCAUAGCUGAACUGGUCCAUAACUCCACCACACAUUCUGACGAUGACACAACCACAGUCACCGAGCCAGCGGACCUGGAAAGCCCAGGCUAUGAUACUAUAGCUGAACUGGUCCAGGAUUCGAGUGCAACCACACUGCCUGACGAUGACCCUAUCACAACCACAGUCACAGAGCCAGGGGAUCAGAUAACCCCUGCGUAUGAAACCAUUGCUGAACUGGUCCAUAAAUUGAGCGCAACCACACUGCCUGACGAUGAGCCAAUAAGAACCACAGUCACAGAGCCAGGAGAAGGGCUUGACCUUACAAGCCCUCUCUCAGUGGCAGAGGAGGGUUUCUGUGACGGGGUGGAAUCCAAUGUACGCUAGAGUGAGAAAGAAGCUUAGUAAAAGUACCACCCCACCACCUGUGCUUCCAUCGGAGGACGAGGAACCGGAGGGAUUUUCACCUCCAUUACCAGAGAGAAGUGGAGAGAUGGAGGGAUGAUCAUUGUAGAAUAUCUCAUAAGACUUCAAAUGUGUGUUACGUCAUCAAUUAUAUUUAUAUAGACUCAACUGUGUCAUUUCUGGUGGAACAUGUCUCAGAUGAUGAAGAUAAGGGUUGUACCCAGUACAUAUCUUAUACGAUCUCAUAUGAGACGGGUAUCUCACUGUCCUAUCCUUCAUAUACACUAUUUCCAGUCCUUUCAUUAGCUUUGCAUUGAACUCCGUACAAUGCUAUGCUACAUAUUCCAUAAGGAAGGACCCUAAGCCCAGAGUAGAACUGGGUCACCUAACAUGUUCCAGAGUAGGCUUUAUGUUUGUAUUUACUAACACAUUACAGUGUGAAGUGGCAAUUACACAGUAAUAAAUCAUUGAGUUACAG
rnacentral:lncRNA from 1 species